CCUACGGGAGGCAGCAGUGGGGAAUAUUGCACAAUGGGGGAAACCCUGAUGCAGCGACGCCGCGUGAAUGAAGAAGUAUUUCGGUAUGUAAAGCGCUGUCAGCAGGGAAGAAAAUGACGGUACCUGACCAAGAAGCCCCGGCUAACUACGUGCCAGCAGCCGCGGUAAUACGUAGGGGGCAAGCGUUAUCCAGAUUUCCUGGGUGGAAAGGGAGCGUAGACGGCAGGGCAAGUCUGGAGUGAAAGGCGGGGGCUCAACCCCCGGACUGCUCUGGAAACUGGCAGGCUGGAGUGCAGGAGAGGUAAGCGGAAUUCCUAGUGUAGCGGUGAAAUGCGAAGAUAUUAGGAGGAACACCAGUGGCGAAGGCGGCUUACUGGACUGUAACUGACGUUGAGGCACGAAAGCGUAGGGAGCAAACGGGAUUAGAUACCCUUGUAGUC
rnacentral:rRNA from 1 species